UAUUCAUUAUCUUACUUUUAUUUAUUUAUUUAUUUAUUUUGAGAAGUUUCUUUUUAUUUAGUAUAGCUUAUAGAAUUAUAAUUUUUAGUAAUAGUUUAUUAGUACCGUGGGGGAAUUUUUGAAAUAUUUUGAAAUAUUUAUUUUUUAUAAAGUAUAUUUUGUUUAUAUUACCUUUUGUAUCAGGGUUGAUUAAUUUUUAAAAAUUUAUUUUUUUUUCUCGAUUUUAUAAGAGCUGAUUAAUAUAAUUUGUUUACUGUGGUAAAAUUAUCAAUAAUAUUAAUCUGUAAAGAAAUUUUAUUCGUUUAUAAUGGUAUCUAGUUUUUUAAGAAUUAAAUUUAAUUUAGAUUUAUAAUUUACGAUUUUGUUUUAAAAAAUUUUUAUUUUAUGAAUUUAAAAUAAUGGGGGAUUAGCUCUUUUAUUUUUCUAAAAUUUUUUUGUUGUUGAAUUUUUGUAGGGUUAGAAGCGCCCAUCCUUGAUUACGUUAUAGUACUGAUUUAUUUAUUUUCGAUUUAUUUUUUAUUUAGUAUAUUAUUAAAAUGUUUUAUUUAUUUUUUAAAUAAAAGUUAUUAUGAUUGAAUUAGUAUAUUUAAUUGUUUAAUGUGUUUUGGAUUUUUAUGUUGGGCUAAGGAACUCGGCAAAUAUAAUGUUCGCCUGUUUAUCAAAAACAUGUCUUCCUGUUUUUAUUGGAAGUCUGACCUGCCCAGUGAUUAUUUUAACGGCCGCGGUAUAUUGACCGUGCAAAGGUAGCAUAAUCAUUAGUCUUUUAAAAGGAGGCUGGAAUGAAAGGUUUGACGAGACAUUUACUGUCUCAGCCUUAAUUAUUAAAAUUUAACUUUUGAGUUAAAAGGCUUAAAUUUUGUUGGAAGACGAGAAGACCCUAUAGAGCUUUAUGGUUUUUUCUUUAUUUUCUUUAUAAUUAGUUUUAUUGAUUAAACUUUUUUGUUGGGGUGACAAGAAAUAUAUAUUUAACUUUUUUAUUUAUAAUACAUUUAUUUAUGAUUUAUUAGAUCCAUUAUUAGUGAUUAUUAGAGUAAGUUACCUUAGGGAUAACAGCGUAAUCUUCUUUAGGAGUUCGUAUUUGCAAGAAGGAUUGCGACCUCGAUGUUGGAUUAAGAUUAUAAUUGGGUGCAGUUGCUCAAUGGUAUAGGUCUGUUCGACCUUUAAAUUCUUACAUGAUCUGAGUUCAGACCGGUUUAAGCCAGGUCGGUUUCUAUCUCCAAUUUUUUGGUAAUUUUUAGUACGAAAGGACCAUUAUUACAAAAUAUUUUUUACAGUUUUGUUUAAUAUUA
rnacentral:rRNA from 1 species